rnacentral:rRNA from 1 species
CCCUUAGAUGUUCUGGGCCGCACGCGCGCUACACUGAUGCAUGCAACGAGUUCUAUCCUUGGCCGGAAGGCCUGGGUAAUCUGUGAACGUGCAUCGUGAUAGGGAUAGAUUAUUGCAAUUAUUAAUCUUGAACGAGGAAUUCCUAGUAAACGCAAGUCAUCAGCUUGCAUUGAUUACGUCCCUGCCCUUUGUACACACCGCCCGUCGCACCUACCGAUCGAAGGUAAUGAUGAGCCCUCAGGAUUGUGGCCUCGUCGCGUCAGCGUCUUGGCUGCGAGAAUCUGUUCAAAUCCCUACCUUUAGAGGAAGGUGAAGUCGUAACA